rnacentral:ncRNA from 1 species
AAAUGGCCGCCUCUGAAAGGUGCCCGCUACGGGUUAAUAGGGAACUAAGGUGCGCCUCAUCCAGGCAACUCCUUGACUGUCCUCGCAACUGUAAGCAAGUAGUCCGGUCUCAUUACGCCACUGGUCCGAUGAUUGGGAAGGCGAUACCGGGUAAUGAUCUGCAAGUCAGGAAACCUGCCUUUCACGCGUCGCAUUU